AACUGUAUCAUAAAAUAAAUAAGUUAGAGAAAAAUUAAAGCUAUUGUGAAAUGAAGUGUUAAAGAUACAAAGAAACAGUAAAGGAUGGAAGGUCUGAGACUGUGUCGAUCACUCUUUAAAAUCUCGUGCUCUUGGUCUUAGCUGGGCCAUCUCUCCACGUGCCUUGGACACCAGGGAGGUGCACGGAGCAGGUGCACAAGCGUUCUCGCUGUUUCCACACACUGGCCACUUCCCCAGGGCCCUCGACUGUCCUAACAGGAAAAAGAACGCCAAACGACAUAGGGGAAGGCUCAGCCUUCCUCAGCCGGCUGUGCCGCCAGUGAGCGGCGAGGAGGGUGGUCCGGCUGUGCAGGGGAGCAGAGAGCACCCCAGCACACACCCCCAGGAUCCCUGCUGGCUGGCCGCAGGGCGCUCACUGCGUGGGUCACCACCAGGCGGCCCUAGGGGAGGCAGUGAGUUACCAGACAAUUGCAUGACCUCGGACACAACUCAGACCUCUGCCGUAACUUGGAAAGUCUGACCGCAGAAGAAAGCCUUUCAUUCUUGGAAGAUGGAGACCGACACUCCGGCGGUGCACAUGAACCGGGGCCGUGUGCAGCCAGCAGAAAGCAAGGGUUGAAAGAUCUCAGGGAUCAGAACCAGAGGAACAGCUCAGUCCGACUGAGUCUCCACAUCGCCCUGCUGUGGACUGACAGCCAGUCGCUCGCAGUGGCCGUGGCCUCGGCAGCAGAUGCUAAAAGGUGUUUCAGGGCCAGCAUUAACUGAAGAAUCUGAGGUUCAUUACUGGAUAGAAGUGGGUGGGAGAGGAGAAUGCUGCUGGCUGGAGCACAAGAGGUGCACGGGAGCUGGGAUGGAGGGAGGGGCUCCCCAGGGCUUGUCCUUUUUCAGGGGUGCAGGGAGGAGUGAGGAGGCACUGGUGCUCUCACAUCUUUGCCCAGUGGCAAACCCGGAGCUCUGGGACGACAGUGGUCAAGAUUCGCCUACUCAGACCCCGACUCUACUGUCCCAUUGCCAAUUACUAGGUGCUCAUAUGCUCCUUAAUUUGGCCUAAAUUGGUUUAUUUGCCAGAAUAAUUUUGAAUCCUUCUCUCCCUCCCUCCAAGGAUCAGUGUUUCCUGUGUGGAGACAAACACUGCGUAUGCUAUUAGCAUGAUCUAUGGUGUUAUUAAAAUUGUUAUUAUUCACCUGGUCUCCGGAGGGGAGGGUGGGCGGCGAGCGCUGAUAAAUCCUUUUGCAAUAAGGAAAGCCUGACACCCCACAACGGGCCUUCAGGAGGCUGGCGCUUGAGCCCCCAGGAGAGACUGGACCCGGAGGAGGAAAUUCUACUUAAAAUCGCAUGUAGAUUAGAAGAGGCACAGCCAUGCUCGUUGGGAUUUUAAUUUUUCACUAUUGCAUUCAUUAUAUGAUUUAAAUGAGAUUACAGGCUAUACAGGCUAACAUACACUGUAUCUUGUGAUGAAAUAGCUGUGUUUUAACUGCCCUGGAAAUCUUUUUUUUUUUGAUGCAACCUCUUCGUUUCCGCGUAUAUGAUGGAUGGAGUUUUAAAGUGACAGGAAGCUGGUAUAAAUAUGGGCUUUUUCCUGAAGACCCUGAGAAUGGAUGGGAUCGGAUUCCUCCUGGUGGGCUGGGUGUGAUGUGCGGCUGGCUCGUGCUCAGGUCUUAGAACAGAGCAGCGUUCUCAGUGUGGUUAGCAGGUGCCGGGCUCUGCUUUAGGCUUGGCCGCAGUGGCCUUGCAUGCUGGCCUUGUGCUGAGGACAUCCACUGAGUGAAAAGGACAGUCCCACUCCAUGAAGACAUCUAACGUCCUCUUGGUCCAGGGCCUUUUCAGACUUCACCUUUGACCGCUCUGUGCGAGGCAGUGCUGUACAGACAGGCCAAGCCUGGAUCCGCUGAGGGCAAGCAUCUACCUCCCACACGCCACUUAUGUCCAGGCCACUCAGCCACGUGCUGGGCUAGGGACAGAGGGCCCCUUGCAGGUGGAGGCCGUCCUCCUGCUCCUUGAUUCAAGUAACUUUCCCAUGUGGCUAUCUGGCCAUUUCCUGGACAGAUGUGUCCAGUGCUGGACUGGGUCAUAGUACAAUGAAGUGGAACCUCUGAUGGGCAUUUACUAAGAGUGUAUGGCAUCUUUGGAAGAGACCACACUCAGGGACUGCCCUUGGGGUGGAUUCUCUGUCCACUAGCAGCAAAGCAGAGGGCCAGGAGAGGCUGACACACUUAAAUCCAAGUGAAGAAAGAAGGUGCUGAACGUCCUGAAAGACGUGGAAAUGGUCUGGGAUAUUUCAAUUUGGCCUUGUAAUUGUAUUUGAUUUCAGUUACUGUGUAUAUACACAUCAUUUUCCCUUUUGGAUUAAAUAUUUUCAAGGAAAA